UACGUAGGGUGCAAGCGUUGUCCGGAAUUAUUGGGCGUAAAGAGCUCGUAGGCGGUCUGUCGCGUCUGCUGUGAAAACUCAGGGCUUAACCCUGAGCUUGCAGUGGGUACGGGCAGACUAGAGUGCGGUAGGGGAGACUGGAAUUCCGUGGUGUAGACGGUGAAAUGCGCAGAUAUCAGGAGGAACACCGGUGGCGAAGGCGGGUCUCUGGGCCGGUA
rnacentral:rRNA from 1 species